GAGGAAUAUUGGUCAAUGGGCGCGAGCCUGAACCAGCCAAGUAGCGUGCAGGAUGACGGCCCUAUGGGUUGUAAACUGCUUUUGUAUGGGGAUAAAGUCAAUCGCGUGUGAUUGUUUGCAGGUACCAUACGAAUAAGGACCGGCUAAUUCCGUGCCAGCAGCCGCGGUAAUACGGAAGGUCCGGGCGUUAUCCGGAUUUAUUGGGUUUAAAGGGAGCGUAGGCCGGAGAUUAAGUGUGUUGUGAAAUGUAGACGCUCAACGUCUGACUUGCAGCGCAUACUGGUUUUCUUGAGUACGCACAACGUUGGCGGAAUUCGUCGUGUAGCGGUGAAAUGCUUAGAUAUGACGAAGAACUCCGAUUGCGAAGGCAGCUGACGGGAGCGCAACUGACGCUUAAGCUCGAAGGUGCGGGUAUCGAACAGGAUUAGAUACCCUGGUAGUCCGCACAGUAAACGAUGGAUGCCCGCUGUUGGUACCUGGUAUCAGCGGCUAAGCGAAAGCAUUAAGCAUCCCACCUGGGGAGUACGCCGGCAACGGUG
rnacentral:rRNA from 1 species